AGAGGUGGGGUGAAUAGACAUACAAAUUAACAACAAAUUGAGAAUGGCUGUAACCGUUCAGUGUGUAUACAGAGUUUUGCAUGCUUGAACACUUGGCCGUAAAGCUCCCUCAAUGUAAUAAGCAAAUGGCCCUGAAGAGACCUGGUUUUAGGUCUAGAGUUCUGUCUUUCUUUCUCUUUCUCUCUUUUCUCUAUCAAUCGAGUUUGAAAGGUCUGAGAUACUCCAUAAAAAAUCUGCAGGUAUGGCACAUCUAUUUACAUGUUUGAAUUAAAAUUUCAAUUCCUUGAUCUUAACCUGUAGUGUUUCUGCUAUUUUAAUGGCCUUCCUUUGGCUGCUACAGACUUUUACUUACCUCUGACAUGAAUAAAAGGUACUGAAAAUGCUUCUGUUUUCUUAUAUAUGGAUCAGAUUAUAGUUCUCAAACUUCAUUUCAAAAUUUCAUUAACAAAUGCAUAUACAUUUGAUAUCAGGAAAUACAUCAGAUUUUGCUCGACAAGUUAUAAAGAUAUAAAUUAGAUUAGAUUUCAAACUUCAUCGGUUUUUUAUUUGCAGUAUUUUUCUUUUCUCCUUUUUUUACUAAUCUUAUAGAUUAGGUAAAAGCUAGUGAAAUUAGGUGAUAAAAAUUUCAAAUCUAUUUGAAAUGCACGCGAAAACCAUAAAUAAAAGAAAUUUUAAAUAACACCAAAAAUAAAAGUUACCAUAUAUUUCCCAAAAAAAGUAUUAAAAUUAAUUAACAUGUAAUGAGUCAUAUGAUUUUAAUAUAACUUAAUUACGUAAAUAUAUAUGAGAAAGAUUGCGAAAAAACAAUAAGAAAUUAAGAUAUCAAUAAGAAAUGAUCAAUCUGCUGAAGUACACUGAUCAUUAAUCAAACCAUAAAAUUACCAAUUUAUACAAUCUCUUCUUGUACCUAUAAUCAUCAUUAACUUUUUUCUCUUUAGAUUGUAAGAAGCAAAUUUAUCAAAUAGGCAGACAUAAUAAACAUACAUACACCUUCAGUACAUAUUAUAAUACAAUAUAUAAUGUUCACGAACACAUAAUCAUAUUCUUAUGAAAUAAUUUUGUAUCUUACGAAAUAGUUCAUGAAUCAGUUGCAUAUUUAUCUUUUAGUUAUUUAAAUUUUUUCAUAAACCUUAAAAUCAUUUUCAAAACAUUAGUUUAGAGUGUUUGGAUUUAUUUUUAGUAUUUUAUUUGAUAGUUGGUCUUUAUAAUAUAUGCUUUACAAUUCCUUGUGAGAUCGACCUUGUGGUGUACUUACCAGUACUACUAUUCGGUUCGUACACUUGCAAGUACUAAGUUUGAGACAUUAAGCUCCUAAAGAAAAGCUUGAUUCCGUGCUAAUUUGCAACCCGACAAUGAGUGAUUACUUGGUUUUAACCUCAAUCACAAGAACAACAAGAAUAUUGUUC
rnacentral:lncRNA from 1 species